rnacentral:rRNA from 1 species
CCUACGGGUGGCAGCAGUGGGGAAUAUUGCACAAUGGGCGCAAGCCUGAUGCAGCCAUGCCGCGUGUGUGAAGAAGGCCUUCGGGUUGUAAAGCACUUUCAGCGGGGAGGAAGGCGGUGAGGUUAAUAACCUCAUCGAUUGACGUUACCCGCAGAAGAAGCACCGGCUAACUCCGUGCCAGCAGCCGCGGUAAUACGGAGGGUGCAAGCGUUAAUCGGAAUUACUGGGCGUAAAGCGCACGCAGGCGGUCUGUCAAGUCGGAUGUGAAAUCCCCGGGCUCAACCUGGGAACUGCAUUCGAAACUGGCAGGCUAGAGUCUUGUAGAGGGGGGUAGAGUUCCAGGUGUAGCGGUGAAAUGCGUAGAGAUCUGGAGGAAUACCGGUGGCGAAGGCGGCCCCCUGGACAAAGACUGACGCUCAGGUGCGAAAGCGUGGGGAGCAAACAGGAUUAGAUACCCUAGUAGUC